CAUGGGCGAAGCCUGAUGCAGCAACGCCGCGUGAGUGAAGAAGUAUCUCGCNUAUGUAAAGCUCUAUCAGCAGGGNAAGAAAAUGACGGUACCUGACUAAGAAGCCCCGGCUAACUACGUGCCAGCAGCCGCGGUAAUACGUAGGGGGCAAGCGUUAUCCGGAUUUACUGGGUGUAAAGGGAGCGCAGACGGCACUGCAAGUCUGAAGUGAAAGCCCGGGGCUCAACCCCGGGACUGCUUUGGAAACUGUAGAGCUAGAGUGCUGGAGAGGCAAGCGGAAUUCCUAGUGUAGCGGUGAAAUGCGUAGAUAUUAGGAGGAACACCAGUGGCGAAGGCGGCUUACUGGACGAUAACUGACGCUGAGGCUCGAAAGCGUGGGGAGCAAACAGGAUUAGAUACCCUGGUAGUCCAAGGGCGAAUUC
rnacentral:rRNA from 1 species